GUAUUCCCGAGGGGAGCAAAUUCUGAAGAAAAGGGUUCCAGGCGACUGAGCGUGUUCCAUUUGGUUCACUUUGCUGGAAUUACUGUGAACCAGUAACUGAAAUCUACUCUAAUGAAAAAGCUUUAGGGGCUCACUUCGCAGCUACCAGAACUGAAGGCGCUGUGGAGAAUAGAAGAUGGAAGUCAAAGAAACCAAAACAGCUUUCCUUAAGCUUUCUUUCUGAAUCAUGUUUAUAUCGUGUUUGUGAGGGAUAGGCAAUACAUGGUUGGCAGGCCUCAGAACAAUUCCAUGGAGCCAGCAGACACUUAUUUGAAACUGAAAAUCUUCACUUAACGAAACACUAGAUCAGCAAAUGUAGGUUUGUGAACUCAGGCCAGGGAGGUCUCCUCAGCAGCAACAGCCUUGAUAACCUGCUACCAAUUUGAAAAUGGCACCGGAAGUUAUUGUAAAUGAGAAGAUGAUCAUGAAGCAUAUGCUGAUGAUGAAUCCUAGUACUUGUUCCUGCACUUACAAGCUUGCCAUCUAAAAUUAAACACUGGGAGCAAGCAACAGAAGAAGAUGCCUAACCUGAAAGAGACAAGUUAGCCAGCUCAGUAAUUCCACUUACAUCAACAAUGGAGCCACAAAUGUUUAUGUGAAAUUAUGAAAUAAUUUCAGAUGAAUUAGAGCUGAGUUACCUAAACAAGAGAGUUAUGGGGCUCCACCAAUCCAUCAUAAGGUUGCAGCGUGUUUCAUCUAAUGCCUUGGAAUUAUGGGAAUCUUCAUUCGGAUGAGCGCUUGGUCAAAGAGCAGAGCGGGGUCAAUGAAAAAUUAAUUGAAAGCAACCUGUAAGGCUUCCUAUAUGGGAUGAUGGCUCCCUCCCCAUUAGGGAGGAUGUCUGUGAUAUAAACAACUCCUUUGUAUUCUUCACAAUAGGUUGGCUACUUAGGAGUGAGUUCGUCUUCCCAAGCUGUCCAGCCACAAAGGAACUGGAAACUGCUGGUACGGAAUGGACAGGCUUUAUUAUUGGAACACAGGAAGACUUUAUCACCCUGCUGGGAUGAAGAAGGAUGACAGCAAAUGGUGCUGAAUGGGACAACGACGAGGCGCACAGGACCAAAAGCGACAAUACUUGGCAAAGAUUUUUCUCUAUUUUACACCACUGACUUUGAACACUCAGAUGUGCAACAUAAAUGCUCUCUGUCACUAUAAAUAUAGAGUUGCCUGUACAAGCCUGCAGCCUAAACUGAUCACAGCCAGCAACAGAAUGAAGAUAGAUGUUCCCAUCGCGUCCAGCGACACCCCAGUAGGCUGAUAUUUCCUCUGUUUAGCAAACAGGCCUGUUAAGGAAUUUCCUUGGCAAACAGACAACAUGGAAACAUCCUUCAUCCCCAUAGAAUACAUGAGCCAGCAAAAACCAUUUCCUAUGCUAUGGCAACAAUAUCUGCGUAAGGUUAAACAAGACAUUUCAUACCAUCCCUUACUCAGGCCACCGUAUCUAUUUCUGGACCUCUUCUUUUGUUCAACCUUUGCUAAUAAUAGUGACCCAGCUUAGGUGGUAUUUAUAGUCGUUAAAGACUUGUGGCUUGACUUUUCAGAACACUUUAUUCAUGUAUAUUUCCUGUGUUUAUUGUUACCCUAGUUGGGUCUCUCUUUUUUUAAUCAUUAAACGUACUCCAUCCAAGAUUUUUAUUUAGUAACACAUUUUCAAAGAAACUUUUCCUUCACCAAAUGAGCAAGCCAGAUUUAGCUGGAAGCAGAUCACUUCUCUCCUAGGUAGUUUGACUCUCUGUGUGUUUAUUUUGAAGUAAGCCUCACUGUCUUCAGCCGGACUUGCUCCUUGACACAGAAGCAUAGGAUUGCUGCCUUCAUGUCAAUGAAGAAAGCUUUUAGUUUCUUUCCAGUUGCUAGGAGCAACAUUGAAAACACACUGAAGUAAAUA